rnacentral:rRNA from 1 species
GCUUGUCUCAAAGAUUAAGCCAUGCAUGUCUAAGUAUAAACAACUUUAUACUGUAAAACUGCGAACGGCUCAUUAUAUCAGCAAUAAUUUAUUUGAUGGUUUCUUACCCCAUGGAUAACUGUGGUAAUUCUAGAGCUAAUACAUGCGUAAAGUCCCGACUCUUUCUGGGGAGGGAUGUAUUUAUUAGAUAAAAAUCAACUUUGUUGGUGAAUCAUAAUAACUUCUCGGACCGCAUGGCCUCGUGCUGGCGGUGCUUCAUUCAAAUAUCUGCCCUAUCAACUGUCGAUGGUAGGAUAGAGGCCUACCAUGGUUGCAACGGGUAACGGGGAAUAAGGGUUCGAUUCCGGAGAGGGAGCCUGAGAAACGGCUACCACAUCCAAGGAAGGCAGCAGG